AUUGAACGCUGGCGGCAGGCCUAACACAUGCAAGUCGAGCGGAUGAAGGGAGCUUGCUCCUGGAUUCAGCGGCGGACGGGUGAGUAAUGCCUAGGAAUCUGCCUGGUAGUGGGGGAUAACGUCCGGAAACGGGCGCUAAUACCGCAUACGUCCUGAGGGAGAAAGUGGGGGAUCUUCGGACCUCACGCUAUCAGAUGAGCCUAGGUCGGAUUAGCUAGUUGGUGGGGUAAAGGCCUACCCAGGCGACGAUCCGUAACUGGUCUGAGAGGAUGAUCAGUCACACUGGAACUGAGAAACGGUCGAGACUCCUACGGUAGGCAGCAGUGGGGAAUAUUGGACGAUGGGCGAAAGCCUGAUCCAGCCAUGCCGCGUGUGUGCAGAAGGUCUUCGGAUUGUAAAGCACUUUAAGUUGGGAGGAAGGGCAGUACGUUAAUACCUUGCUGUUUUGACGGUACCAACAGAAUAAGCACCGGCUAACUUCGUG
rnacentral:rRNA from 1 species